rnacentral:rRNA from 1 species
UGAGUUUGAUCAUGGCUCAGGACGAACGCUGGCGGCGUGCCUAAUACAUGCAAGUCGAGCGCGGGAAGCAGACGGAAUCCUUCGGGAGGAAGACUGUGGAACGAGCGGCGGAUGGGUGAGUAACACGUGGGCAACCUGCCUAUAAGCUUGGGAUAACUUACGGAAACGUGAGCUAAUACCAAAUGAAGUCUUUUAUCGCCUGAUAAAAGAAUAAAAGGCGGCACUUUGUGCUGUCACUUAUAGAUGGGCCUGCGGUGCAUUAGCUAGUUGGUGGGGUAAUGGCCUACCAAAGCAACGAUGCAUAGCCGACCUGAGAGGGUGAUCGGCCACACUGGGACUGAGACACGGCCCAGACUCCUACGGGAGGCAGCAGUAGGGAAUCUUCCGCAAUGGACGAAAGUCUGACGGAGCAACGCCGCGUGAGUGAUGAAGGUCUUCGGAUCGUAAAACUCUGUUGUUAGGGAAGAACAAGUAUCGGUCGAAUAAACCGGCACCUUGACGGUACCUAACCAGAAAGCCCCGGCUAACUACGUGCCAGCAGCCGCGGUAAUACGUAGGGGGCAAGCGUUGUCCGGAAUUAUUGGGCGUAAAGCGCGCGCAGGCGGUCUUUUAAGUCUGAUGUGAAAGCUGGUGGCUCAACCAUUCAGUCUAUUAUUCAAACUGGUAAACUCGAGAGUAGCAGAGGUAACUGGAAUUUCUCGUGUAGGAGUGAAAUCCGUAGAUAUGAGAAGGAACACCAAUGGCGUAGGCAGGUUACUGGGCUAUUUCUGACACUAAGGCACGAAAGCGUGGGGAGCGAACCGGAUUAGAUACCCGGGUAGUCCACGCCGUAAACGAUGGAUACUAACUGUGGGGGGGUAUCGACCCCCUCCGUAACGAAACUAACCCCUUUAAGUAUCCCGCCUGUGGAGUACGGCCGCAAGGUUAAAACAUAAAGGAAUUGACGGGGACCCGCACAAGCGGUGGAUCAUGUUCUUUAAUUCGAUGAUAAACGAUGAACCUUACCACGGCUUGACAUCCCGAGAAUUUCUCCGAAAGGAGAGAGUGCUUUUAGAACUCGGUGACAGAUGUUGCAUGGCCGUCGUCAGCUCGUGUCGUGAGAUGUUUGGUUAAGUCCAUCAACGAGCGCAACCCUUGUCUUCAGUUGUAUUUUUCUGAAGAUACUGCCCCGGCAACGGGGAGGAAGGAGGGGAUGAUGUCAGGUCAGUAUUACUCUUACGUCCUGGGCCAGAAACGUGAUACAAUGGCGAGCACAAUGCGCAGCGAAGCCGCGAGGUGAAGCAAAUCGCAUCAAAACUCGUCCCAGUUCGGAUUGGAGGCUGAAACUCGCCUCCAUGAAGUCGGAAUCGCUAGUAAUCACAGAUCAGAAAGUUGCGGUGAAUACGUUCCCGGGUCUUGUACACACCGCCCGUCAAACCAUGAAAGUGACCAACACCCGAAGUCCGUUUUUUGCGGCCUAAGGUGGGGGGCAUGAUUGGGGUUAAGUCGUAACAAGGUAGCA